CCCCCCCAGCGCCGCCUCCUGGACCGCCUGGGACAUCUGCGAGGCCUGGGCCGAGAAGAGGGGCUACAAGACGGCCAAGGCGGCUCGCAACGACGUGUACCGGGCGGCCAACAGCAUCCUGCGCCUGGCGGCCGAGGGGCGCCUCCGCCUCUGCCUGCGCCCCCCCGGCUACGCCGCGCAGAAGGAGCACUGGGAGCAGCACCCCGACACGGCGGCGCUGGCGGCCCUGCAGGACCAAGGGGACCCCGAGACCCGGGGCGCCCCCCCCGAGGGCUCCACCUCGGAGGAGGAGGAGGGGGACAGCGAGGAGGAGGCGGGGCCUGGGGAAGCCCCGCCCCCCGGGAGCACCGCGGCCAAUCCCUUUGCCCUCCUGGGUGAGGAUGAGUGCUAGCCCCGCCCCUUUUUGGGGGGCGGGCCAAUGGGAGGCCGAGCUGUGAAUCACUACAGUCUCAGAUCGAAUAAAGAGCUUUAUUUCCGCA